rnacentral:rRNA from 1 species
AUGGGGAUGAAGAAACUCUCGUUCUUCAUGGGGUUGCUCAUGCUUGCGUUGUUUCCAGUGCUGUCACGACAAGAUGGUUUUGAUCAAUGGGUGGCAUUGCAAGAGAGCAAGACUAGCGUAGCCACAUCGACACUUGACGCCAAGCUCUCCACAGCAGAAGCCUCAAGGCUUGGUAAUGGCGUUGAUCCAUACACUAUCUUUGGCGCUGAAGAUGGCAUGUACAAGAGCAUCAGUGAGUGCAUUUCCAACAUCCCCAAUGACAACACUAGACGACAUAUGUUUAACCUAAAACCCGGAACAGUGUUCCGUGAGAAGGUGUUCGUUGGAAAAGAUAAGCCCUUCGUCACGCUAAAGUCCGAUCCCUCCAACCCUGCUGUUAUCGUGUGGAAUGAUACCGCCAUGACCAAGGGCAAGGAUGGCAAGCUCCUCACCUCCCGUGGUAGUAGCACUGUUACCAUAGAGUCUGACUAUUUCAUUGCCUAUGGUAUUAUCAUCAAGAAUGAUGCACUUCCUGCCAAGGCGGGCGACAAACAAGUGCAAGCCACUGCAUUGCAUGUGACGGGCACAAAGGCAAUUUUCUAUAACUGCACGAUCGAGGGCGGCCAGGGAGCCUUGUAUGACCAUCAGGGGCUUCACUACUUCAAGGCCUCUACAAUCAAGGGAAGUGUCGACUUCAUCUUCGGAUCCGCACGAUCUUUGUAUGAAGACUGUAGUAUCAUCUCUACUAACAAGGAUAUCACCAACAUGGAAGUGGCACAAGAGGGGUGGGCUAGCGAGAGCCGUAUCAACAGUGAGAGUGGUUUCUCCUUCAAGAAUUGUACCAUCAAGGGUGAGGGGAAACCAGUAUUCUUAGGAAGGGCAUCGGGGAACUUCUCGCAGGUUGUGUACUCCUCCACUGAGAUGGACAGCGAAAUUGUUCCCAUCAUAUGGGAAAAGGGGAAUAUGAAAAUUCCUAAGAGUGGGAUCUACUAUGGUGAGUUCAAAUGCUAUGGGCCUGGGUUAGAUGCAUCGAAGAAGGCUGGAUGGGCCCUAUCCCUAACUGAGGCUCAGGCCAAGCCCUUUACGUGCAAAAGCUUCAUCUCAGGUGGCUCAUGGAUUACCCCCCUUCCCCCGGCUGAUCCAUAA